rnacentral:ribozyme from 1 species
UGCCCAGCAAUUCCUAUCCCUACCUCCUCGUGAUACUGGCCGGGGUACGAGUAACCUUGGGGAAGAUCGGGUAACUAACCUCCGGUGGGAACAUUGGUCGUAUGCUGACAGGGAAGG